GCAAGUGUAGCUCAGUGGUAGAGGGCCUGCUUAGCAUGCACAAGGUCUUGGGUUCAAUCCCCAGUACCUCCA
rnacentral:tRNA from 1 species